ensembl:snRNA U1 U1 spliceosomal RNA
AUGCUUACCUGGCAGGGGAGAAACCAUGAUCAUGAAGGUGGUUUUCCCAGGGAAAGGCUUAUCCAUUGCACUCCGGAUGUACCGACCCCUGCAAUUUCCCCAAAUGUGGGAAACUCGACUGCAUAAUUUGUGGUAGUGGGGGAUUGUGUUCGCGCUUUCCCCAA